GAUGAACGCUAGCGGCAGGCUUAAUACAUGCAAGUUGAGGGGCAGCAUGAUAUACGCGAGUAUAUUGAUGGCGACCGGCGGACGGGUGAGUAAUAGGUAGGAGACCUACCUCAUACAGGGGGAUAGCAUAGAGAAAUCUGUGGUAAUACCCCAUGAGGUUAUAUGAAUAGAGGCAUAUAAUCAAAGCAUAAGCGAUUAUGCGGUAUGAGAGGGGCCUACUGACCAUUAGCUAGUUGGUGAGGUAAGGGCUCACCAAGGCGAAGAUGGUUAGGGGUUUUGAGAGAGAGACCCCCCACAUUGGAACUGAGAGACGGUCCAGACUCCUACGGGAGGCAGCAGUAGGGAAUAUUGGGCAAUGGGCGAAAGCCUGACCCAGCCAUGCCGCGUGAAGGAAGACGGCCUUAUGGGUUGUAAACUUCUUUACUACGCGAAUAGAGGUUAGUACGAGAUACUAAUAGGAAGUGUAGUAGUAAAAGCACCGGCUAACUCCGUGCC
rnacentral:rRNA from 1 species